UUCUUUUUGAAAAUUUAAAAAGUAGGGCCUGCCCAAUGAAAAAUAUUUUAAAUGGCUGCAUUAAUUUGUACUAAGGUAGCAUAAUUACUUGUUUUUUAAUUGAAGACUUGUUUGAAUGGUUUUUUGAUAAAAAUAAGCUUGAGUAAAAAUUUAUUUGAAUUUUUGUGUUAUGGUAAAAACACAUAAAUUUUUAAAAAAGACGAUAAGACCCUACAUGAGCUUUACAUAUGAAAAAAAUUUUUUAUGUUUUAAUGGGGUGUUAAAGUAUUUUUCAUACUUUUUUUGAUCCUAAUUUAGGAUAAAGGAAAAAGUUACCUUAGGGAUAACAGAGUAAUAAUUUUUAGAGUUCUUAUUAAAAAAAUUGUUUACCACCUCGAUGUUGAAUCAAAGAAACAAAAAAAUUGAAGUUGUUUUUUUUGUUGGUCUGUUCGACCAUUAAACCUUUACG
rnacentral:rRNA from 1 species